rnacentral:rRNA from 1 species
AGGACGAACGCUGGCGGCGUGCUUAACACAUGCAAGUCGAACGGUGACCUCGGAGCGUUGCUCCGGGUGAUCAGUGGCGAACGGGUGAGUAACACGUGAGUAACCUGCCCCAGACUCUGGGAUAAACCCCGGGGAACCGGAGCUAAUACCGGAUACGACACGAAGAGGCAUCUCUAUCGUGUGGAAAGUUUUUCGGUCUGGGGAUGGACUCGCGGCCUAUCAGCUAGUUGGUGAGGUAACGGCUCACCAAGGCGACGACGGGUA